UACGUAGGGUGCGAGCGUUAAUCGGAAUUACUGGGCGUAAAGGGUGCGCAGGCGGCUCCGCAUGUCGGGCGUGAAAUCCCCGGGCUUAACCUGGGAAUUGCGUCCGAAACUAUGGAGCUGGAGUGUGGCAGAGGGAGGUGGAAUUCCACGUGUAGCGGUGAAAUGCGCAGAUAUCGGGAAGAACACCCGUGGCGAAGGCGGCUCUCUGGGACGGUACUGACGCUGAGACGCGAAAGCGUGGGGAGCGAACAGG
rnacentral:rRNA from 1 species